rnacentral:tmRNA from 1 species
GGGGGCGCAUGGAUUCGAUCCCAUGGGGCAGGACGGUGCUGCGUGCCGGAGAUGAAUGGUUGGCUCCGCAAAAAUCCAUUCGAUGUCUGUAAAUGGCAAAAAAAACGUAAUUAGGGGUCUCAAGUUCGGCAAAUCUAAGUCCUAUGCGAUGGCUGCCUAAUUAAAAAAAUGCCGCAAAAAUUGCGGCACGUCGCGACGGCUGACUGCUCGCUAGGGCGCCGCGACGAAAAAUAGCGGGCGGGGUUUCGGAUCGUGCGAGGCCGAAAUCGCAUCAAUCGCACUAGUCUUCUUUGCCGUGGCGACGUCCGACAAAAAAGAUUAAAUUAUGACGCCGCUACGCACGUAGACGCGCCGCCCGAGAACAUGGGAGACGUGGGUUCGACUCCCACCGCCUCCACCA